ensembl:snRNA U6 U6 spliceosomal RNA
GUGCUCGCUUCAGCAGCACAUAUACUAAAAUUGAAAUGAUACAGAGAUUAGCAUGGCCCUGUGCAAGGAUGACACACAAACUCAUGAAGUGUUCCUAUUUUUU